rnacentral:rRNA from 1 species
AUUGAACGCUGGCGGCAGGCCUAACACAUGCAAGUCGUACGGUAACAGGAAGAAGCUUGCUUCUUUGCUGACGAGUGGCGGACGGGUGAGUAAUGUCUGGGAAACUGCCUGAUGGAGGGGGAUAACUACUGGAAACGGUAGCUAAUACCGCAUAACGUCGCAAGACCAAAGAGGGGGACCUUCGGGCCUUUUGCCAUCGGAUGUGCCCAGAUGGGAUUAGCUAGUAGGUGGGGUAACGGCUCACCUAGGCGACGAUCCCUAGCUGGUCUGAGAGGAUGACCAGCCACACUGGAACUGAGACACGGUCCAGACUCCUACGGGAGGCAGCAGUGGGGAAUAUUGCACAAUGGGCGCAAGCCUGAUGCAGCCAUGCCGCGUGUAUGAAGAAGGCCUUCGGGUUGUAAAGUACUUUCAGCGGGGAGGAAGGAGUAAAGUUAAUACCUUUGCUCAUUGACGUUACCCGCAGAAGAAGCACCGGCUAACUCCGUG